rnacentral:lncRNA from 10 species
AUUUCUUGGCUGCUCCACAAGGGAGUCCCACUUCAGGUGUGGUGCUGGGCAUGAUCACUCCUGCUGGAUGUUUAGAAGGUGGAAACCAAGGACCUAGGGAAAUACCAGUUACAGCCUUUCCACCCUCAUCCAGAGCAGGACAAAGAGGCCAGGCGGUGUCAGGAGCCCAGGUCUCCAGCUGGAGGGAACAUCAACCCUGCAGUGGGAGCAGGGGCCCAUUGCACAUCCUAGGCAGAGAUGGUAACGUAGGCACCACAGAAGCACUGCUGACAGUUUGGUGGUUGCCAUUGGGACAGUGAGCCUUUUGUUCUUUCUGAGGUUGGGCUGGUUUCUCCUCUUGGCCCUGCCCUACAGACCGUAAAGGAAAUCAGCAAGAAGUCCCCAGCAAACAUCCACAGAUGGCCCUGGACAUCAGCCACAUUCUGAGAAACAUGUCACGUUCUGGGAGGGCUAAGGCAUCAACCUCACCUUGCAGGAAUCCCAGUGAAUAUAUUGCCACCCUAUUUGAGCUCAGUGCCCUCAUAGUGUAAUGGCACCAGCAGAUCUGCCUGUGCAUGGACUUCCUGUACUACCCAUUCCUGAGGGGUGAUGCUUCUGCAGGGCCUAUGACCUGGUGCACAACUUUAGACACCAUCAUCCUGGAGCAGCACUGCACCCUCACUAGCCAGGGUGUUCAUGACUUCCUCAAGGCCAAGGCCACGUUCAAGACUUGGGACUUCAGUGAUGCACUUGUGCUGGGCAAGGUGGCUUCUCCGGUAUCUUAAUUUGCCAUGGAAGGUGCUGGAUAAAGGAGGGACAGUCAGAUAUGUCUUAGAGAUGACUGUAGAAGGCUGCCUGGAAGGAGUGAACAAGAGCCAGGAGACCCAGGAGGGAGCUUGUGGGGCAGGUCUGGAGAUGGCAAGGGAGGGAUCCUGCUUGGAUGAAAAGUCUUCAGGGACUGUCUCAGGUUACACUCAGGUGCCCUCAGAGCUAAUGUGUUCAGAGGUCUUGUCUCCAGGAUGAAAAUGGGAAGGAGUUGUCAGAAGAGGACAUAUAAAUGGAGGCUGGCAUCUUCAUGAGUACCAGCGGUGGUCCCGGUGUGGGUCUCUCCAUCCAGGGACAUGGUGGAUGGACACUACAUCACUCCAUUCUGCCCUUCCUUUCCCUCCUCCCAUUCUCCCAAGGGCCUCAGUGCAUGGGCGGUGUCCAACCUCUGGUGCUGAAUCAGCCAAGAGAUCCAAGCCUGCUUGGCUGCCUCUUAGGAUAUGAAAGCACAGCCACUGGGCUCUACUGAAUCCUAUGCAACCUCAGAAGACACCCAGGAGUGAUGCCAUCACGUGGUGCAAGAGUUCUGAGGGACCGCAAUCCUGAAGACAUUGAAUGGCUGUGUUCCUGCUCAUUGCUGGAGGCACUGUCAGGGGCCCUGUCCUCAACCCCGGGUCUGACACUUGCAGAUCAGGCAGGACAUUCUGGAGGAAUCAUGCCCUUGGAAGGAUCCCUGAGGAGUGACUGUUGUUAGAUUAAAAAACAGUGGCAAAGAGCAAUACAGAGAGUUGCCAAAAUUCACACCGCUGGUCCAGGUUUGAAGCAAGCAAUCUGUACCUGCAGUCCUUGUCUGUAACCAUGGCACCCUGGCUUCUCACACAUCUCAUCGUGGAGUUCCACCAUGUGUCAGGCAUGGCACUGAGCACCUUCUUUUAAGAAUAUAAUUUGUAAUUAUGUAGAUUCUUAAUUCUACUUCAAAAUGCCACACAGCCUUCAUGUGAUAAAAUGAAACAAUUGCUCAACUGAUCUCCUGGGAUCUCUACUAAGAUGUUGGCAGCCCGGUCAGCUGGUCUGGCCCUGGACGUGCCUUCAGGGUCUGGUUAUGCUUCAUGACCUGCAUUGUGGUCAGUGCCAUUUUGCAGACUUUGAUCACAGUGAAACGUUCCAUGGGAACUUGGGCCAUGAGAAACAUCCUUCCUAACCACGUGACUGCAGAAACAUCCUUAUCACAUCCUCCUGGGCAAAGGCCCAACAGCCUGACUGCAGGGACAUCCUUGCCAUAUCCUGCUGGGCAGCAAGCUCUACCACCCAGAUCCCUCCCUCCCAGUCCCAUGAUUACCCCAGCCUGUGAGUGGCAGUUGGUUCUGGCACUAAGCUGGUUUCCUCCUCCCCAGGGUUUUGCUGGCAAUAAAGAUGUUGCUGUUGAAGCCACC